rnacentral:tRNA from 1 species
UCCCUGGUGAUCCAGUGGUUAGGACUCGGACUUUCACUGCUAUGGGCCCAGGUUCCAUCCCUGGUUAGGGAA